rnacentral:tRNA from 1 species
GGGCUGGGGCUCAGUGGUAGAGCGUGCUUGCCUCACAUGCAUGAGGCCCUGGGUUCGAUCCUCAGCACCACA